CACAAUUUAUCCCUUAUAUUAAGCGAUUACCAUAGUUAUACAGAAAAAAUUCUAAUGUCCGUUUUGCCCCUACGCACCUAACCAUACAGUGCAUCCCUAGCUGACAAUACUACUCUGCUUUUCAUACAACAUCGUCUCCCGAAACACACCAUUGUUGUGUCAGGAGGCGGGAUUAAUCGAAGAGACACUAAUGAAUCUACAUCUCUGUAGCCAAAGGGCGGUGAUGUAUAAUCUCCUGAAGCAGUCAUAUACUCAGGGAAGUCAUAUGUCAACAGCACCAGCUCUUGCCUCAAAUUUAAAACCGUAAAUAAGUGGGGUUUCUUUACGCAACAUUGGAGAUAGCGUCUAAGAUAUGGACACACAAACUG